rnacentral:rRNA from 1 species
UACGGGGGGUGCGAGCGUUAUUCAUCGUAACUGGGCGUAAAGCGCCAGUAGGCGGUCCGCGUAAAUCAAUUUUUAACCUUCGUGGAGGUUGACCGCGAUAGAAUUGAAACCUACCGGACUUGGGUUUAGUAGAAGAGAGAUGGAGCUCACGGUCUAGAUGUGAAAUGCUCUGACACCGUUGGGAACUACCAUUUGGCGGAAGCAACUCUCUAUGCUAUUUCCGACGCUAAGGGGCUAAAGCGUGGGGAGCAAACGGG